rnacentral:rRNA from 1 species
AGCCAGACUCCUACGGGAGGCAGCAGUGGGGAAUAUUGCACAAUGGGGGAAACCCUGAUGCAGCGACGCCGCGUGAGUGAAGAAGUAUUUCGGUAUGUAAAGCUCUAUCAGCAGGGAAGAAAAUGACGGUACCUGAUUAAGAAGCCCCGGCUAACUACGUGCCAGCAGCCGCGGUAAUACGUAGGGGGCAAGCGUUAUCCGGAUUUACUGGGUGUAAAGGGAGCGUAGACGGUGAUGCAAGUCAGAAGUGAAAGCCCGGGGCUCAACUCCGGGACUGCUUUUGAAACUGUGUGACUGGAGUGCAGGAGAGGUAAGCGGAAUUCCUGGUGUAGCGGUGAAAUGCGUAGAUAUCAGGAGGAACACCAGUGGCGAAGGCGGCUUACUGGACUGUAACUGACGUUGAGGCUCGAAAGCGUGGGGAGCAAACAGGAUUAGAUACCCGCGUAUG